UGGGAUGUGGGGUUGGCAAUGCAAAUCGUCCAUGAUAACAAGGGAGAACUGUGCUCUGCGAUGUCUUUCACCAUCUUGUUACGAGCUAAUCUAUGAGAGUGACCCGCUUGAAGAGGGAGAAAAGGACUUCAUUCGGAGCCAAGAGUAUAAAUACUGCAUGCAUAAGUUGUCCAUGGGAGAGACCCUCGAGGGUGUUAAGGGUGUGUUUGGCCAUUAA